rnacentral:rRNA from 1 species
UUGGAGGGCAAGUCUGGUGCCAGCAGCCGCGGUAAUUCCAGCUCCAAUAGCGUAUAUUAAAGUUGUUGCAGUUAAAAAGCUCGUAGUUGAAUUUCGGGAUCAAUUUAUUGGUCGUGCCAACGGUACGCACUGGUACAAUUGGUUUCUCCCUUCUGACGAAGCAUGAUGUCAUUAAUUUGAUGUCGUGGGGAAUCAGGACUGUUACUUUGAAAAAAUUAGAGUGUUUAAAGCAGGCUUUGGCUUGAAUACAUUAGCAUGGAAUAAUGAAAUGGGACGUUUGAUCUUAUUUCGUUGGUUUCUAAGAUCGACGUAAUGAUUAAUAGGGAUAGUUGGGGGCAUUAGUAUUCAAUUGUCAGAGGUGAAAUUCUUGGAUUUAUUGAAGACUAACUACUGCGAAAGCAUUUGCCAAGGAUGCUUUCAUUAAUCAAGAACGAAAGUUAGGGGAUCGAAGACGAUCAGAUACCGUCGUAGUCUUAACCAUAAACUAUGCCGACUAGGGAUCGGAUGAUGUUAAUUUUUUAAUGACUCAUUCGGCGCCUUACGGGAAAC